rnacentral:rRNA from 2 species
UCAAGUGAAGAAGCGCAUACGGUGGAUGCCUUGGCAGUCAGAGGCGAUGAAAGACGUGGUAGCCUGCGAAAAGCUUCGGGGAGUCGGCAAACAGACUGUGAUCCGGAGAUGUCUGAAUGGGGGAACCCAGCCAUCAUAAGAUGGUUAUCUUGUACUGAAUACAUAGGUGCAAGAGGCGAACCAGGGGAACUGAAACAUCUAAGUACCCUGAGGAAAAGAAAUCAACCGAGAUUCCCUUAGUAGUGGCGAGCGAACGGGGACCAGCCCUUAAGUUGUAUUGAGAUUAGCGGAACGUUCUGGAAAGGACGGCCAUAGUGGGUGAUAGCCCUGUACGCGAAAAUCCCUUUGCAAUGAAAUCGAGUAGGACGGGGCACGAGAAACCUUGUCUGAAUAUGGGGGGACCAUCCUCCAAGGCUAAAUACUACUGACUGACCGAUAGUGAACCAGUACCGUGAGGGAAAGGCGAAAAGAACCGCGGAGAGCGGAGUGAAAUAGAUCCUGAAACCGUAUGCGUACAAGCAGUGGGAGCCCACUUUGUUGGGUGACUGCGUACCUUUUGUAUAAUGGGUCAGCGACUUAUUUUCAGUGGCGAGCUUAACCGAAUAGGGGAGGCGUAGCGAAAGCGAGUCUUAAUAGGGCGUCUAGUCGCUGGGAAUAGACCCGAAACCGGGCGAUCUAUCCAUGGGCAGGUUGAAGGUUGGGUAACACUAACUGGAGGACCGAACCGACUACCGUUGAAAAGUUAGCGGAUGACCUGUGGAUCGGAGUGAAAGGCUAAUCAAGCUCGGAGAUAGCUGGUUCUCCUCGAAAGCUAUUUAGGUAGCGCCUCAUGUAUCACUGUAGGGGGUAGAGCACUGUUUCGGCUAGGGGGUCAUCCCGACUUACCAAACCGAUGCAAACUCCGAAUACCUACAAGUGCCGAGCAUGGGAGACACACGGCGGGUGCUAACGUCCGUCGUGAAAAGGGAAACAACCCAGACCGUCAGCUAAGGUCCCAAAGUCAUGGUUAAGUGGGAAACGAUGUGGGAAGGCUUAGACAGCUAGGAGGUUGGCUUAGAAGCAGCCACCCUUUAAAGAAAGCGUAAUAGCUCACUAGUCGAGUCGGCCUGCGCGGAAGAUGUAACGGGGCUCAAACCAUGCACCGAAGCUACGGGUAUCAUCUUAGGAUGAUGCGGUAGAGGAGCGUUCUGUAAGCCUGUGAAGGUGAGUUGAGAAGCUUGCUGGAGGUAUCAGAAGUGCGAAUGCUGACAUGAGUAACGACAAUGGGUGUGAAAAACACCCACGCCGAAAGACCAAGGUUUCCUGCGCAACGUUAAUCGACGCAGGGUUAGUCGGUCCCUAAGGCGAGGCUGAAAAGCGUAGUCGAUGGAAAACAGGUUAAUAUUCCUGUACUUCUGGUUAUUGCGAUGGAGGGACGGAGAAGGCUAGGCCAGCCUGGCGUUGGUUGUCCAGGUUUAAGGUGGUAGGCUGAGAUCUUAGGUAAAUCCGGGAUCUCAAGGCCGAGAGCUGAUGACGAGUGUUCUUUAGAACACGAAGUGGUUGAUGCCAUGCUUCCAAGAAAAGCUUCUAAGCUUCAGGUAACCAGGAACCGUACCCCAAACCGACACAGGUGGUUGGGUAGAGAAUACCAAGGCGCUUGAGAGAACUCGGGUGAAGGAACUAGGCAAAAUGGCACCGUAACUUCGGGAGAAGGUGCGCCGGUGAGGGUGAAGCAUUUACUGCGUAAGCCCACGCCGGUCGAAGAUACCAGGCCGCUGCGACUGUUUAUUAAAAACACAGCACUCUGCAAACACGAAAGUGGACGUAUAGGGUGUGACGCCUGCCCGGUGCCGGAAGGUUAAUUGAUGGGGUUAGCGCAAGCGAAGCUCUUGAUCGAAGCCCCGGUAAACGGCGGCCGUAACUAUAACGGUCCUAAGGUAGCGAAAUUCCUUGUCGGGUAAGUUCCGACCUGCACGAAUGGCGUAACGAUGGCGGCGCUGUCUCCACCCGAGACUCAGUGAAAUUGAAAUCGCUGUGAAGAUGCAGUGUAUCCGCGGCUAGACGGAAAGACCCCGUGAACCUUUACUAUAGCUUUGCACUGGACUUUGAAUUUGCUUGUGUAGGAUAGGUGGGAGGCUUUGAAGCGUGGACGCCAGUCUGCGUGGAGCCAACCUUGAAAUACCACCCUGGCAACUUUGAGGUUCUAACUCAGGUCCGUUAUCCGGAUCGAGGACAGUGUAUGGUGGGUAGUUUGACUGGGGCGGUCUCCUCCUAAAGAGUAACGGAGGAGUACGAAGGUGCGCUCAGACCGGUCGGAAAUCGGUCGUAGAGUAUAAAGGCAAAAGCGCGCUUGACUGCGAGACAGACACGUCGAGCAGGUACGAAAGUAGGUCUUAGUGAUCCGGUGGUUCUGUAUGGAAGGGCCAUCGCUCAACGGAUAAAAGGUACUCCGGGGAUAACAGGCUGAUACCGCCCAAGAGUUCAUAUCGACGGCGGUGUUUGGCACCUCGAUGUCGGCUCAUCACAUCCUGGGGCUGAAGCCGGUCCCAAGGGUAUGGCUGUUCGCCAUUUAAAGUGGUACGCGAGCUGGGUUUAGAACGUCGUGAGACAGUUCGGUCCCUAUCUGCCGUGGACGUUUGAGAUUUGAGAGGGGCUGCUCCUAGUACGAGAGGACCGGAGUGGACGAACCUCUGGUGUUCCGGUUGUCACGCCAGUGGCAUUGCCGGGUAGCUAUGUUCGGAAAAGAUAACCGCUGAAAGCAUCUAAGCGGGAAACUUGCCUCAAGAUGAGAUCUCACUGGAACCUUGAGUUCCCUAGAGGGCCGUCGAAGACUACGACGUUGAUAGGUUGGGUGUGUAAGCGCUGUGAGGCGUUGAGCUAACCAAUACUAAUUGCCCGUGAGGCUUGACCAU